CCCAAAUAAAAGGUUAAGUUGCAAAUUUUGUAAUAAUGAAAAAAUCUCAAGAAAAUCCAAACAUUUUCACACAAAAAAUCUGUUUUUCAAGACUGGCCAAAUUUCCUCAAAAUACUUUUCGAAUUAAAACUUUUGUUCAGCUCUAAUUAACACCUGUAAUUGCAUAUAUCAAUGAAUGUUACCUGGUUCUUAGUACUGUAAUUUCUGAACUGACCAUCAUAGAUAAAUGGAAGUCAGGUCACAAGGAGUAAGAACAUGUGUCAAACCAUGUCCUGAAAUAUCACAUUGUCCACAAUGGAUAAAAGGCUCCAAGAAAGCUGAUUCCUAACCAGUAACCAUGUUCUGUGACAAUAUUGGUGAAAGAAACGGAGUCAGAGGAAUGGAGGGAGCUCCGGUUCUCUGGAUGAGUGUUGAUCAUGGGGUUCACAGCAUCCAGCAAGGCUUAACCUAAACCCAAAAUGACAGGUAUGACCUACACCAGCUAAAUUUAGAGAAAAGGAGUACUUGUGGCACCUUAGAGACGAACAAAUUUAUU